AGAGUUUGAUCCUGGCUCAGAACGAACGCUGGCGGCGUGGAUAAGACAUGCAAGUCGAGCGGGAUUUCUUUCUGUAGCAAUACCGGAAGAAAUCUAGCGGCGAACGGGUGCGUAACACGUGGGCAAUCUGUCUUAAAGUGGGGGAUAGCUCGGCGAAAGCCGGAUUAAUACCGCAUGUGAUCAGGGAAGACAUCUUUCCGACAUCAAAGGUGGCGCAAGCUACCGCUUUUAGAGGGGCCCGCGGCCUAUCAGCUUGUUGGUGAGGUAACGGCUCACCAAGGCGAUGACGGGUAGCUGGUCUGAGAGGACGACCAGUCACACUGGGACUGAGACACGGCCCAGACACCUACGGGUGGCAGCAGUCGAGAAUUUUUCUCAAUGGGGGAAACCCUGAAGGAGCGACGCCGCGUGGAGGAUGAAGGCCUUCGGGUUGUAAACUCCUGUCAUUUGGGAACAAUGCUUACGUAUUAACUGUACGUGAGUUGAUAGUACCAGAAGAGGAAGGGACGGCUAACUCUGUGCCAGCAGCCGCGGUAAUACAGAGGUCUCAAGCGUUGUUCGGAUUCAUUGGGCGUAAAGGGUGUGUAGGUGGCGCCGUAAGUCGGGUGUGAAAUUUCGGAGCUUAACUCCGAAACUGCAUUCGAUACUGCGGUGCUUGAGGACUGGAGAGGAGACUGGAAUUUACGGUGUAGCAGUGAAAUGCGUAGAUAUCGUAAGGAAGACCAGUGGCGAAGGCGGGUCUCUGGACAGUUCCUGACACUGAGACACGAAGGCCAGGGGAGCAAACGGGAUUAGAUACCCCGGUAGUCC
rnacentral:rRNA from 1 species